GGGCGAGUGGCGGAACCGGUAUACGCGGCGGACUUAAAAUCCGCUGGCCAUAACAGGCCUUGUGGGUUCGAGUCCCACCUCGCCCACCA
rnacentral:tRNA from 1 species